ensembl:lncRNA
UCAGGAACGAAACACUGUCGUGUUGUUCAGAGACGUAAAACAGUGCUGUGGUUGUGUUUGGAUUGUUUUUGUUGUUGUUGACGAAAUAGAGCAAAAACAGCCACUAUGGUGUCAAAAAAGUAGUUCUAAAUGACAUCAUCCUUCAGGAAGUGACAUCAUCGAUUUGGAGGGAAAUCAACAGCACAAACACAAAUGAUCGACUUACCAAAAUGACCAUGAACAACAGAGGAGUUGUACUGCAGGUCAAGAUGCAGUAACCAUGUUUCAAAGAUAUUUCAUCAUGCUCAUAGCAUUCUCGCGUGGCGGCAGAUGUUCCUGUGACCUUGCUAAAGUGUGGCAUUGUUUGCACACCAUACAGAAUUUCACCUCAAGAUGGC